UGUGUGAGUCAGGAUGUGUUUUGUGUCAAUUAAUUGAUGGAAAUGUUUCCCUCAGAAAGAAAGAUGGAUCGUAAUGAUGAGAGAAUAAAAAGAGCUUUAAGACGCCGCCCUUAUGUGUUGAAACCAGUGAGGGUGAACACCCCUGAAUCCGUGUUGUGGCCAACCGGCAAGGUGCACAGAAGGCCAAAGCCUGUAAGUCAUAUCUGACUGAAACAAAAACAUACACAUUAGUUAUGCAUUCUGCAUGUACAAACUGCAGUUAUCAGAAUUAAAGCAAUGCAGAUGUCCCUAUGUAACCUCAUUGAAUGCUGUCUGAACAGUCUACUUCAGUGCAGACCACUCAGAUCCACAAAAAACCUGUAAGUAACAUUCAAAUUCAACCACAUAACACUCCUUAUAUUAUUUAUUGAUACACAAUUCAAGGCCAAAAUGAGCAAAGCAGUGUUGAAUUCAUUCUUUACUGUUAACAGCCAAUCAUUGUGAGCUAUGGGCAGGACCAGACAUCUGGGGAUGGAUGGAGCAUCAAUCCAGAGCCUCUCAGCCAGGUCAUCUCUGCUGUUCCCAUAGAGACACACCAGUUAGAUCAAUCUGUUGAUUCAUAUGGCCAUUUUGGUUGGCUUGGUUGAAUUGACAAUCAUCCAUUCAAAAUGCUAAAUAAUCCUAUUCUAUGGAAGGUCUUUUGCCCCAACCCUAAUGUUAUGGGAGUUGCAUUUAUUGCAUUUUCAGUUACCCAUGUAUUACUCACUACUUGUACAACCAUGUUGGAUUGCCUACAUAUUCUACAUUUCCUUGAGGGUCAAUGCCAGUGUAUUCUAUGGCUGCCAUGAUUACAUGCCUUUCUCUGUCUCCUCAGUCUGGAAGGGUCACUCGGCUGAUAGAGAGAAAAUAUGAUGACGUGAUCUCAUCCUCCAGUUCUGAUGACUUUUCCGUCUACUCCUUCACUGACUGUGAAUCUGAGUGUGAUGAUGAGGAUCAUGAAAGGAGGACACCACCGCUGAAAAUUGAGAAUGGAAAGGUGACAAAGCUUGAUGUGAGGGAUAUGGACGAGGAUGACGAUCUGUCUCUCCACUCCUUCGAUGAGUCAGACUUCCUGAGCCCAGGGAAGGUCUCAGGUCCUGUAUCUGUCAGGAAUGGCCAAUCUCCUCUUAUGACCUCAGCACACCGGACCCUGGCUGAAGCCCUACGGGCCCUACCCUCUGCUGUAGGCUCUCCCUACCCAGUAAAUGUCCCAAGGCCCUGGACUCCUCUCAACCCUGUCAUUAUCGCUCCACCCCGAACAGAGAACUUUCCAUACCGCCACAGCCCUCGCCUGGCUCCCAUCACCAACCUGAGCGAGACAGGCAGGAAGCUGCUCCAGGAAAUGGCUGGAGUGGCCCCACAGGUUUCUUCAGUGGCUGCUGUCCAAACUGAGAUGUUCAAAAAAAUAAUGGCCAACUAUUACUUCUACCACACACACACACACACACACACACACACACACACACACACACAGAUUUUGAGUAUUGGUUACUCCUACAACACACACAAACGUAAUUUUAGAGACAGGAACUAUGAUUAGCAAAAUACAUAUAUUGGUCUCAUUCUUAUAUUUUGAGACAUGCAGCAUUCUUUUUUUUAAAUGAUAUUGAUCCCCAUACAGCCCAUGAUAAUGAGUUGGAUUUACAUGCUUAGGCUUGGAAAUAUAGCCAGGAGAAGCAGGGUCAACACCUCUACUCAUGUCAUAAGUGCCAUGACAUCUUUAGUAACCACAGAGAGAUAAGACCUCUGUCUCCACAGUCUCAUGCAAAGGACAUCACCAACCUUAGGGCAGUGUCACUGGUAUUGGGGUCUUCUUUGGCCAAAGUGAAGAGUUGAGUACCCCUUACUGGUCUCCUUGCAAUAUCUGGUCUCCCACACAGAGAUGGAAAUCUACACCUGUUUAGACCCUGGAGGAUAUGGCUUCAGAUGAAAGACAGCAGAGAGAUACAGAACGUAAAAGCUUCAAACACAUUGAUAUGCAAAUUCAGGACCAUUGUACACUGAAGUGGCACAUGCAUCUGGUCUGAAUCAUGUCAAAAGAGUAGAAAUGAACUAGGACUGGAGGACUGCAUCACAUUUAAACUAAAUUAGCAUGUAUCUGAUUUAGCUACACUCAUCUGUACUUGAAUUGUGCUGUUUGAAACGUGCAUUUCCAAUAAAGCUUUUUA